UACGGGGGGGGCAAGCGUUGUUCGGAAUUACUGGGCGUAAAGGGCUCGUAGGUGGCCAACUAAGUCAGACGUGAAAUCCCUCGGCUUAACCGGGGAACUGCGUCUGAUACUGGAUGGCUUGAGUUUGGGAGAGGGACGCGGAAUUCCAGGUGUAGCGGUGAAAUUCGUAGAUAUUCGGAAGAACACCAGUGGCGAAGGCGGCUCACUGGCCCGGUACUGACGCUGAGGUGCGAAAGCGUGGGGAGCAAACAGG
rnacentral:rRNA from 1 species